CGUCUUUCUCCACUUAAUUACCAAACAUGAUUGACAACAACAUCAGAAACCUCAUGAAGCAAUUAAGGAUCAUCAUCAUAAGGUUCAUUUAAAGCUGGUGAAGAAGAGAGUUCCAAAAUAGAAAAUCCAUUGGUUUGAAACUCAGCCAACUCAGAUAAAUGAACUUGUUGUCCACAUAUGAUAUUUCCCCUCAAAUCCAAAUGCUCCAGUUUACCUUUUGCAGCUUUUACAGCAGAGGAAAGGAUUGACAAAGAUUCUUUGGGCAUAAAGUUGUAUUUUGCAUUUACUGUUGAAAGAUCUGGAGCAUGAGAGAAAAGCUUUGACAGAAAUCUUGCAGUUUCAAUUCCACCUCGAUUUUUGCUUAUGUUGAUUGAGUGGAGCUUUGUUUCCUUCACUAUCGCUUGGCCUGCUCUCAUGAAGCCAGUAGAACCUAGUCCAAUGUCUUCAAUAUCAAGAGCUUGAAUACCACAGCAUAGAAACUUCCCUAGUGCUGUUCCUAUUUCACUGCCAAGAGAGUUGCCUCCGAUCGAGAGAAAAUUCAGUGGUUUUCUCAAAGAUG
rnacentral:misc_RNA from 1 species